UACAGAGGGUGCAAGCGUUAAUCGGAAUUACUGGGCGUAAAGGGCGCGUAGGUGGGAAACUAAGUCGGAUGUGAAAUCCCCGGGCUUAACCUGGGAAUGGCAUACGAUACUGGUUAUCUAGAGUUGAGUAGAGGGAAGUGGAAUUUCCGGUGUAGCGGUGAAAUGCGUAGAUAUCGGAAGGAACACCAGUGGCGAAGGCGGCUUCCUGGAUUCAAACUGACACUGAGGCGCGAAAGCGUGGGUAGCAAACAGG
rnacentral:rRNA from 1 species